UUUUACGCCUAUGGUGUAGAUACUCGGUAGAGCCCAGAGAGCAUUAGAUGUUUCUUAUGUUGGAUGACGGUGUAGUUGACCUUUUUCAUUUAUUAUUUUUGUGUUGUUUAGUUUCUGCGAGUCACUUUGAUAGUGUAACAAUUGGGUUGGGAUACUUGGAUGAUGUUUUGUGCAAAUUGUUGAGUUUAUUUGACUUAUGAUUUUAAUAAAA
rnacentral:lncRNA from 1 species